UUUGUGAAUGUAUUUAUAUUAUGUGGGUGGCUUCAUUGUUGAGCUAUGUUUUUUGCACUUGGCAUACGUUUUUAUGUUACACUUGUCCUUUUUUU